GAUGAACGCUAGCGGCAGGCCUAAUACAUGCAAGUCGAACGGUGUCUUCGGACAUAGUGGCGCACGGGUGCGUAACACGUAUGCAACCUACCUUACAUUGGGGGAUAGCCUUUCGAAAGGGAGAUUAAUACCGCAUAAGACAGUAGCUGGGCAUCCAGCAGCUGUUAAAGAUUUAUCGAUGUAAGCUGGGCAUGCGUCCAAUUAGCUAGUUGGUGAGGUAACGGCUCACCAAGGCAAUGAUUGGUAGGGGAACUGAGAGGUCAAUCCCCCACACGGGCACUGAGAUACGGGCCAGACUCCUAUGGGAGGCAGCAGUAGGGAAUAUUGGGCAAUGGACGCAAGUCUGACCCAGCCAUGCCGCGUGCAGGAUGAAGGCGUUAUGCGUUGUAAACUGCUUUUAUACAGGAAGAAACGACUCUUGCGAGAGGCAUUGACGGUACUGUAUGAAUAAGCACCGGCUAACUCCGUGCCAGCAGCCGCCGUAAUAC
rnacentral:rRNA from 1 species